AGGCAGUCAGAGCGCGCGCUGCAGCGGCAGAGCCAAAGCCGGGAGCCCAAGCGGCCGCCGGAUCGCAGCCCGUGGGGCCAGCCGCAACCAUGGGCAACCGUGGCAUGGAGGAUCUAAUCCCGCUGGUCAACCGGCUGCAGGAUGCCUUCUCCGCCAUCGGCCAGAACGCGGACCUCGACCUGCCACAGAUCGCCGUGGUGGGCGGCCAGAGCGCCGGCAAGAGCUCAGUGCUCGAGAAUUUCGUAGGCAGGGACUUCCUGCCCCGAGGAUCUGGCAUUGUCACCCGACGCCCCCUGGUCCUGCAGCUGGUCAAUGCUACCACAGAAUAUGCCGAGUUCCUGCACUGCAAGGGGAAGAAAUUCACCGACUUCGAGGAGGUGCGCCUGGAGAUUGAGGCUGAGACCGACCGGGUGACUGGCACUAACAAGGGCAUCUCUCCGGUGCCCAUCAACCUCCGCGUCUACUCGCCGCACGUGCUGAACCUGACCUUAGUGGACCUGCCCGGAAUGACCAAGGUCCCAGUGGGGGACCAACCUCCCGACAUCGAGUUCCAGAUCCGCGACAUGCUUAUGCAGUUCGUCACCAAGGAGAAUUGCCUCAUCUUGGCCGUGUCCCCAGCCAACUCCGACCUGGCCAACUCUGAUGCCCUCAAGGUCGCCAAGGAGGUGGACCCCCAGGGUCAGCGCACCAUCGGGGUCAUCACUAAGCUGGACCUGAUGGACGAGGGCACAGAUGCCCGUGAUGUUCUGGAGAACAAGCUGCUCCCGCUGCGCAGAGGCUACAUUGGAGUGGUGAACCGGAGCCAGAAGGACAUCGAUGGUAAGAAGGAUAUCACGGCUGCCUUGGCUGCUGAACGCAAGUUCUUCCUCUCCCACCCUUCCUACCGCCACUUGGCUGACCGCAUGGGCACGCCCUACCUGCAGAAGGUCCUUAACCAGCAACUGACAAACCACAUCCGGGACACACUGCCAGGGCUGCGGAACAAGCUUCAGAGCCAGCUGCUGUCCAUUGAGAAGGAGGUGGAGGAGUACAAGAACUUCCGCCCUGAUGACCCAGCGCGCAAGACCAAGGCUCUGCUGCAGAUGGUCCAGCAAUUUGCUGUAGACUUUGAGAAGCGCAUUGAGGGCUCAGGGGACCAGAUCGAUACCUAUGAACUGUCGGGGGGAGCCCGCAUCAACCGGAUCUUCCAUGAGCGCUUCCCCUUUGAACUGGUCAAGAUGGAGUUUGACGAGAAGGAACUCCGAAGGGAGAUCAGCUAUGCCAUCAAGAAUAUACAUGGCAUUAGAACGGGGCUCUUUACCCCAGACAUGGCCUUUGAGACCAUUGUGAAAAAGCAGGUGAAGAAGAUCCGAGAACCGUGUCUCAAGUGUGUGGACAUGGUUAUCUCGGAGCUAAUCAGCACCGUUAGACAGUGCACCAAGAAGCUCCAGCAGUACCCCCGGCUGCGGGAGGAGAUGGAGCGCAUUGUGACCACCCACAUCCGGGAGCGCGAGGGUCGCACCAAGGAGCAGGUCAUGCUCCUCAUCGAUAUUGAACUGGCUUACAUGAAUACCAACCAUGAGGACUUCAUAGGCUUUGCCAAUGCUCAGCAGAGGAGCAACCAGAUGAACAAGAAGAAGGCUUCAGGGAACCAGGAUGAGAUUCUGGUCAUCCGGAAGGGCUGGCUGACCAUCAACAACAUCGGUAUCAUGAAGGGGGGCUCCAAGGAGUAUUGGUUUGUGCUGACCGCCGAGAAUCUGUCCUGGUACAAGGAUGACGAGGAGAAAGAGAAGAAAUACAUGCUGUCCGUGGACAACCUGAAGCUGCGGGACGUGGAGAAGGGCUUCAUGUCCAGCAAGCACGUCUUUGCCCUCUUCAACACGGAGCAGAGGAACGUCUACAAGGAUUAUCGGCAGCUGGAACUGGCCUGCGAGACACAGGAGGAGGUGGAUAGCUGGAAGGCCUCCUUCCUGAGAGCUGGCGUGUACCCCGAGCGUGUUGGGGACAAAGAGAAAGCCAGUGAGACGGAGGAGAAUGGCUCAGACAACUUCAUGCACUCCAUGGACCCACAGCUGGAGCGGCAGGUGGAGACCAUCCGGAACUUGGUGGACUCAUACAUGGCCAUCGUUAACAAGACCGUCCGGGACCUCAUGCCUAAGACCAUCAUGCACCUCAUGAUCAACAAUACCAAGGAAUUCAUCUUCUCGGAGCUGCUGGCCAACCUGUACUCGUGCGGGGACCAGAACACACUGAUGGAGGAGUCGGCCGAGCAGGCGCAGCGGCGCGACGAGAUGCUGCGCAUGUACCACGCACUGAAAGAGGCGCUCAGCAUCAUCGGCGACAUCAACACGACCACUGUCAGCACGCCCAUGCCCCCGCCCGUGGACGACUCCUGGCUGCAGGUCACCCACGUCCAGCCCCACACCGCAGCGCCGAGCCCCCGCGGUGCCCCCAGCCCGGCCCGGGUCGCGGGGCCCUGCUCCUGGGCCUCCGCCUGCUGGGUCCGCCCUAGGGGGGGCGCCCCCCGUGCCCUCCAGGCCGGGGGCUUCCCCUGACCCCUUCGGUCCUCCCCCCCAGGUGCCCUCGCGCCCCAACCGCGCCCCGCCCGGGGUCCCCAGAAUCACUAUCAGUGACCCCUGAGGAGCGUCAGCCACGGUAGGUACAGGCCUCUCCGCCUGCUGCAUGAACCGGUGUGUCUGCCCCCUGCCGCACCAGCUCCACACUGCAGGGCGAACCUGGGACCUCAGAGGCAGGCCCCCUCCCUCUCCCUUCUGCAGCUCCAGACUUAUUCUUUCCUCUUUCUGUCCUCGCUGCCAGCUGGCUCUCUCACCUCCCUUCUCAGCGAGCCUCGGGACUCAGUGCCACUGCCCAAGACCUCCAUGGCUGAGCCUGGGGAGGUCUUGGGACAGGCUCCGCACCCAAGCAGGCAAAGCUGGGUGCUCUCUGGAGGCGUCAGAAAGAGCGCAGAGCUCAUGGUUCGUGGUGUUAGGGGCAGGGAGCUUGGCUGGACUCAGGCAUCCAGAGGCCUUGGCGUCUCACCCUGGGGUGCCACACUCAUUCCCCGAUCUGAGCCCUGCUGCGGGGGCAGGGCAGCCAGCUCCCAGCCUGGGAGCUCUGGAAACCGAAUCCACGAUAGGGCAGAGGAAGUCAAAGUCCCACCUCCUUUAUCGAGCCAGCAAGCGAGCAGCAGCUGGGGGUGAAGGCUCUGGUUAUUUGAUGAUUUGGGAAAGCCUGAGUGUCCCCCCCACCAUCAGCCCAGAGCACAGCUCACAGGCUAGGCAGGUCACACCGCCCCUUCCCCUGCCUCCGCGGUACUGUCACUCCUGCUGGUGCAGGACUGAAGGCAGCGUCCUCAGCCCCAGGUGGAGCACCAUAGCCAGCCCGCAGGCUCAUCCACCUGGGCCUGUUGCUCCUAGGGGUGACCUCCACUUUUCCGCUAAGGGGAUGACGGUGUCUGCGGACCUGGGCAAGCCAGCUUCUCUGAGUUCCGCCCCAGCUGGGCCCCAAACUCGCCCAGCGAGCCUGCCUGCCACUCCGCGCCUGCGCUGACUCUUGCUCUUCUGCUUUUCCCCAGCAGGAAGGGCCCAGCCUCACCUACGCGACCUGCGGCCCCCCGACCAGCUGAGGCUCCCCUCUUAGACUUAUAAGCCUGUGGCCACUGGCAUCCGGCCGCCUGCCCUCCCUGCCUCCCCAGGGUCCCUUUAGAGGACUCGUGGGCUUUCUGCCCACCCAGAGGGGCCUCUAGCACUCCCUCCAGCCAUUCUGUUAGCUUUGCCCUCCUGGUUCAAACAGUGUUCUUUCUCGUGUGUUUCUCCAUCAGGCCUGGUGGCUGUCACGUGGGGCUCACGGCCCCAUACUCCCUGAGGCUAGGGAUGGCCCUGCGCCAGUGGGUUGAAAGACAGGGGGCCAGAGAAGAGGGAAGCCAGAGGGGGCCGAGCACGUGUCUGGAGCUGUGGGUGCACUGCCUGCUGGUGUGUGAGAGACUAGUGUGUGUGGAGGGGUGGGCGCUGCCCCAGCCUUUACCCCAGACCCCCGUGAGGCUCUGGCCCCUGCCCAUCUCCUGCCCUUCUACCUUCCCUUUCUCGUCUCGCUUCUCUAUUCCAGAACCCUUGCCCACACCUGGGUCUUCUGCCCCUCCCCUCCUCUCCCCUGACUGCCAAGCUAGGCUGCCCUUGCCUUACCAGCUCUCUCCCCCUUUUCUCUCUCCCGUUCUCUCUUUGCUUUCUCUCCAACUGCCAGCCGAUCGGGUCAGGCAAGUCCAUCCCGACCUGAGAGCCCCAGGCCCCCCUUCGACCUCUAACCAGAUCCCUCCUAUUCCUCGGAGACCUCCCUUUCCAAGCCUGCCUGGACGGCUGUUCUGUGACUUGACAGUGGCUACCCAGCCCCAGAGCUUCCCCUUCAUCUGUGACUUAGUCUGUUGUAGUGGUGAGCUGACACAUCCAGGCGUGACGUUGGUGAAACUUGUGCCCCUCUGUGGUCUUGCUCCUGCCCAGUUCUAUAAAUAUCUAUAAAUACUCAUAUAUAUAUAUAUAUAUAUAUAUAUAUACACACACACACACACACACACACACACACAUAUAUGGCCAAGCCUCACCUCUAGUGUCGGGAAUCAAUCACCAUGCUGUCCUUGAGGAGUCUUGUGGCCCAGCUACAAGGGAACGCUGUCACCCUGACAUCCCCCUCCAAAGCGUGCCACCUCCGAUGAGCCCCUGUCGUACCCAGCCUGUGGACAGCCAGCCCCCCUCUGCCGCCCUCCCGUCCCUACCCCGCCUCGAACACGGGGGUGCUGUACUGGCAGCUGUGCGGUUCUCUGACCACUACUGCUCUUGCUGUCUCUUGGCUGAGAAUAAAACCCAUUUCUGGAUGAUGGGGAA